rnacentral:rRNA from 1 species
GACGAACGCUGGCGGCGUGCCUAAUACAUGCAAGUAGAACGCUGAAGGAGGAGCUUGCUUCUCUGGAUGAGUUGCGAACGGGUGAGUAACGCGUAGGUAACCUGCCUGGUAGCGGGGGAUAACUAUUGGAAACGAUAGCUAAUACCGCAUAAUAGCAGUUGUUGCAUGACAACUGUUUGAAAGGUGCAAUUGCACCACUACCAGAUGGACCUGCGUUGUAUUAGCUAGUUGGUGGGGUAACGGCUCACCAAGGCGACGAUACAUAGCCGACCUGAGAGGGUGAUCGGCCACACUGGGACUGAGACACGGCCCAGACUCCUACGGGAGGCAACAGUAGGGAAUCUUCGGCAAUGGACGGAAGUCUGACCGAGCAACGCCGCGUGAGUGAAGAAGGUUUUCGGAUCGUAAAGCUCUGUUGUAAGAGAAGAACGAGUGUGAGAGUGGAAAGUUCACACUGUGACGGUAUCUUACCAGAAAGGGACGGCUAACUACGUG